rnacentral:rRNA from 1 species
GCUCGGAAUCAUUGGGCGUAAAGCGCACGUAGGCGGUUCGUUAUGUCGGAUGUGAAAGCCCUUGGCUUAACCGAGGAAGUGCAUCCGAAACUGGCGAGCUAGAGUACGAAAGAGGAUCGCGGAAUUCCCGGUGUAGAGGUGAAAUUCGUAGAUAUCGGGAGGAACACCGGUGGCGAAGGCGGCGAUCUGGGUCGAUACUGACGCUGAGGUGCGAAAGCGUGGGGAGCGAACAGG